rnacentral:lncRNA from 1 species
AAGAUCACUCCUGUUCUGUCUCCUUCUACUUGCUGAAGAGCUUUUCCUGGAAUCUCAGACCCACAGAUAAGGCAAUCAUCCUCAGCUGUGAAGGAUUACUGAUGAUAAUUUACUUAAAAGAUCUCAGGCUGGUUUAUGCUAAGCAUGUAAAGUUCCCCUCUUCUCCCUUCAGGACAGGAUGCUUCAUAUUGAAUAGUCUCACUGAAGGUCAAGAUGCAUAGUGAAGCAAAAUAAGCUGCUUAUGGGAGUAAUUGUGAGGCCAAACUUGUUCAUCAUUGGUGUCCCACUUUUUCCCUUCAGCGAAUGCUCGAUGGUGGAGAGACGCCAUGAGCUCUUGGUAAUGUU